rnacentral:rRNA from 1 species
ACCCGCUGGACUUAAGCAUAUCAAUAAGCGGAGGAAAAGAAACCAACAGGGAUUACCUCAGUAACGGCGAGUGAAGCGGUAACAGCUCAAAUUUGAAAUCUGGGUCUUUCAGGCUCCGAGUUGUAAUUUGUAGAAGAUGCUUUGGGUGCGGUCCCGGUCUAAGUUCCUUGGAACAGGACGUCAUAGAGGGUGAGAAUCCCGUAUGUGAUCGGUGGCUUGCGCCCGUGUAAAGCUCUUUCGACGAGUCGGGUUGUUUGGGAAUGCAGCUCUAAAUGGGUGGUAAAUUUCAUCUAAAGCUAAAUAUUGGCCAGAGACCGAUAGCGCACAAGUAGAGUGAUCGAAAGAUGAAAAGCACUUUGGAAAGAGAGUUAAACAGUACGUGAAAUUGUUGAAAGGGAAGCGCUUGCAACCAGACUUGCGCGGGGUUGAUCAUCCGGGGUUCUCCCCGGUGCACUCGGCCUCGCUCAGGCCAGCAUCGGUUUCGGUGGUUGGAUAAAGGCCUUGGGAAUGUGACUUCUUUCGGGGAGUGUUAUAGCCCUCGGUGCAAUGCAGCCUACCGGGACCGAGGACCGCGCUUCGGCUAGGAUGCUGGCGUAA